GAUGAACGCUGGCGGCGUGCCUAAUACAUGCAAGUCGAGCGAACGGACGAGAAGCUUGCUUUUCUGAUGUUAGCGGCGGACGGGUGAGUAACACGUGGAUAACCUACCUAUAAGACUGGGAUAACUUCGGGAAACCGGAGCUAAUACCGGAUAAUAUUUUGAACCGCAUGGUUCAAAAGUGAAAGACGGUCUUGCUGUCACUUAUAGAUGGAUCCGCGCUGCAUUAGCUAGUUGGUAAGGUAACGGCUUACCAAGGCAACGAUGCGUAGCCGACCUGAGAGUGUGAUCGGCCACACUGGAACUUAGACACGGUCCAGACUCCUACGGGAGGCAGCAGUAGGGAAUCUUCCGCAAAGGGCGAAAGCCUGACGGAGCAACGCCGCGUGAGUGAUGAAGGUCUUCGGAUCGUAAAACUCUGUUAUUAGGGAAGAACAUAUGUGUAAGUAACUGUGCACAUCUUGACGGUACCUAAUCAGAAAGCCACGGCUAACUACGUG
rnacentral:rRNA from 1 species